rnacentral:rRNA from 1 species
AAGCGGCAACAGCUCAAAUUUGAAAUCUGGCUUCGGCCCGAGUUGUAAUUUGUAGAGGAUGCUUUUGGUGAGGUGCCUUCUGAGUUCCCUGGAACGGGACGCCAGAGAGGGUGAGAGCCCCGUAUAGUCGGCCACCGAUCCUUUGUAAAGCUCCUUCGACGAGUCGAGUAGUUUGGGAAUGCUGCUCAAAAUGGGAGGUAUAUCUCUUCUAAAGCUAAAUAUAGGCCAGAGACCGAUAGCGCACAAGUAGAGUGAUCGAAAGAUGAAAAGCACUUUGAAAAGAGGGUUAAAUAGCACGUGAAAUUGUUGAAAGGGAAGCGCUUGUGACCAGACUUGUGCCGGGCUGAUCAUCCAGUGUUCUCACUGGUGCACUCGACCCGGCUCAGGCCAGCGUCGGUUUUCGUGGGGGGAUAAAAGCUUCGGGAACGUGGCACCUUCGGGUGUGUUAUAGCCSUUGCUUAAUACC